UACGGAGGGGGCUAGCGUUGUUCGGAAUUACUGGGCGUAAAGCGCACGUAGGCGGCUUUGCAAGUUAGAGGUGAAAGCCCGGGGCUCAACUCCGGAAUUGCCUUUAAAACUGCAUCGCUAGAAUUGUGGAGAGGUAAGUGGAAUUCCGAGUGUAGAGGUGAAAUUCGUAGAUAUUCGGAAGAACACCAGUGGCGAAGGCGGCGAUCUGGACGAUGACUGACGCUGAGACGCGAAAGCGUGGGGAGCAAACAGG
rnacentral:rRNA from 1 species